AAAGGGUUGUCAGGCAAAUUCGCACCGGACUAUUGUCGUCGUAGCAACGCCGUUGUUUGGCUGAGGAAAUUCUCCGAUGAAUCGGCGAAGAAUUGCGAUUGUUCUUUGCUAAAGCAUGUUCUGGAUACGAUUCCGGGAGCGAAGAGGAUGAUUAUGGGCCACACAAUUCAGAUGGCCGGAAUUAAUGGCGUCUGUAAUAAUCAAGCAAUUCGAAUUGAUGUUGGCAUGUCGAAGGGCUGCGCUGAUGGCUUUCCG
rnacentral:misc_RNA from 1 species